rnacentral:rRNA from 1 species
GGACAUCAGGAGGUUAGUGCAAUGGCAUAAGCCAGCUUGACUGCGAGCGUGACGGCGCGAGCAGGUGCGAAAGCAGGUCAUAGUGAUCCGGUGGUUCUGAAUGGAAGGGCCAUCGCUCAACGGAUAAAAGGUACUCCGGGGAUAACAGGCUGAUACCGCCCAAGAGUUCAUAUCGACGGCGGUGUUUGGCACCUCGAUGUCGGCUCAUCACAUCCUGGGGCUGAAGUAGGUCCCAAGGGUAUGGCUGUUCGCCAUUUAAAGUGGUACGCGAGCUGGGUUUAGAACGUCGUGAGACAGUUCGGUCCCUAUCUGCCGUGGGCGCUGGAGAACUGAGGGGGGCUGCUCCUAGUACGAGAGGACCGGAGUGGACGCAUCACUGGUGUUCGGGUUGUCAUGCCAAUGGCACUGCCCGGUAGCUAAAUGCGGAAGAGAUAAGUGCUGAAAGCAUCUAAGCACGAAACUUGCCCCGAGAUGAGUUCUCCCUGAGACUUUAGGUCUCCUGAAGGAACGUUGAAGACGACGACGUUGAUAGGCCGGGUGUGUAAGCGCAGCGAUGCGUUGAGCUAACCGGUACU